GACGAACGCUGGCGGCGUGCUUAACACAUGCAAGUCGAACGGUAAGGCCCUUCGGGGUACACGAGUGGCGAACGGGUGAGUAACACGUGGGUGAUCUGCCCUGCACUUCGGGAUAAGCCUGGGAAACUGGGUCUAAUACCGGAUAGGACCCUGGGAUGCAUGUCCUGGGGUGGAAAGCUUUUGCGGUGUGGGAUGGGCCCGCGGCCUAUCAGCUUGUUGGUGGGGUGAUGGCCAACCAAGGCGACGACGGGUAGCCGGCCUGGGAGGGCGACCGGGCAGACGGGAACAAGGAUACGGACCAGACGCCGCAGGAAGACAGCAGUGUGGAGUAUUGCACAUUAGCCGCAAGGCUGAUGCAGCGACACGGCGAGAGGGAUGACGGCAUUCGGGUUGUAGACCUAUUUCAGCACCGAAGAAGCGGAAGUGAGGGAAAGUGCUGAAGAAGAAACGGCCAUCAGCGUGCCAGCAGCCGCGGUAA
rnacentral:rRNA from 1 species